ACGUAGGGUGCAAGCGUUAUCCGGAAUUAUUGGGCGUAAAGAGCUCGUAGGCGGUUUGUCGCGUCUGCUGUGAAAACUGGGGGCUCAACCCCCAGCCUGCAGUGGGUACGGGCAGACUAGAGUGCGGUAGGGGAGAUUGGAAUUCCUGGUGUAGCGGUGGAAUGCGCAGAUAUCAGGAGGAACACCGAUGGCGAAGGCAGAUCUCUGGGCCGUAACUGACGCUGAGGAGCGAAAGGGUGGGGAGCAAACAGGCUUAGAUACCCUGGUAGUCCACCCCGUAAACGUUGGGAACUAGUUGUGGGGUCCAUUCCACGGAUUCCGUGACGCAGCUAACGCAUUAAGUUCCCCGCCUGGGGAGUACGGCCGCAAGGCUA
rnacentral:rRNA from 1 species